UACGAAGGGUGCAAGCGUUACUCGGAAUUACUGGGCGUAAAGCGUGCGUAGGUGGUUUGUUAAGUCUGAUGUGAAAGCCCUGGGCUCAACCUGGGAAUUGCAUUGGAUACUGGCAGGCUAGAGUGCGGUAGAGGAUGGCGGAAUUCCCGGUGUAGCAGUGAAAUGCGUAGAGAUCGGGAGGAACAUCUGUGGCGAAGGCGGCCAUCUGGACCAGCACUGACACUGAGGCGCGAAAGCUAGGGGAGCAAACGGG
rnacentral:rRNA from 1 species